GAUCCAGCUUUGAUUCUGGCUCAGGACGAACGCUGGCGGCGCGCCUAACACAUGCAAGUCGAACGAGAGAUGAGGAGCUUGCUCUUCAAAUCGAGUGGCGAACGGGUGAGUAACGCGUGAGGAACCUGCCUCAAAGAGGGGGACAACAGUUGGAAACGACUGCUAAUACCGCAUAAGCCCACGGCUCGGCAUCGAGCAGAGGGAAAAGGAGCAAUCCGCUUUGAGAUGGCCUCGCGUCCGAUUAGCUAGUUGGUGAGGUAAUGGCCCACCAAGGCAACGAUCGGUAGCCGGACUGAGAGGUUGAACGGCCACAUUGGGACUGAGACACGGCCCAGACUCCUACGGGAGGCAGCAGUGGGGAAUAUUGCACAAUGGGGGAAACCCUGAUGCAGCGACGCCGCGUGGAGGAAGAAGGUCUUCGGAUUGUAAACUCCUGUUGUUGAGGAAGAUAAUGACGGUACUCAACAAGGAAGUGACGGCUAACUACGUGCCAGCAGCCUCGGUAAAACGUAGGUCACAAGCGUUGUCCGGAAUUACUGGGUGUAAAGGGAGCGCAGGCGGGAGAACAAGUUGGAAGUGAAAUCCAUGGGCUCAACCCAUGAACUGCUUUCGAAACUGUUUUUCUUGAGUAGUGCAGAGGUAGGCGGAAUUCCCGGUGUGGCGGUGGAAUGCGUAGAUAUCGGGAGGAACACCAGUGGCGAAGGCGGCCUACUGGGCACCAACUGACGCUGAGGCUCGAAAGUGUGGGUAGCAAACAGGAUUAGAUACCCUGGUAGUCCACACCGUAAACGAUGAUUACUAGGUGUUGGAGGAUUGACCCCUUCAGUGCCGCAGUUAACACAAUAAGUAAUCCACCUGGGGAGUACGACCGCAAGGUUGCAACUCAAAGGAAUUGACGAAA
rnacentral:rRNA from 1 species